rnacentral:rRNA from 1 species
CCUACGGGGGACAGCAGUAGGGAAUGUUCGGCAAUGGGGGGAACCCUGACCGAGCAACGCCGCGUGAACGAAGAAGUUAUUCGGAAUGUAAAGUUCUGUGAACAGGGAAGAAAGAGAAAUUUGACGGUACCUGAAGAAUAAGCUCCGGCUAACGACGUGCCAGCAGCCGAGGUAAUACGUCGGGAGCGAGCGUUAUCCGGAUUGAUUGGGCGUAAAGGGUGCGGAGAGGGCAUAGGAAGUCUGUUGUAAAAAGGCUGGGCUCAACCCAGUAGGGCCAAAGAGACUGCAAAGCUAGAGUAUGCCAGAGGCAAGUGGAACUCCAUGUGUAGCGGUCAAAUGCGUACAUAUCUGU